rnacentral:rRNA from 1 species
GAUGAACGCUGGCGGCGUGCCUAAUACAUGCAAGUCGAGCGAACAGACGAGGAGCUUGCUCCUCUGACGUUAGCGGCGGACGGGUGAGUAACACGUGGAUAACCUACCUAUAAGACUGGGAUAACUUCGGGAAACCGGAGCUAAUACCGGAUAAUAUAUUGAACCGCAUGGUUCAAUAGUGAAAGACGGUUUUGCUGUCACUUAUAGAUGGAUCCGCGCCGCAUUAGCUAGUUGGUAAGGUAACGGCUUACCAAGGCAACGAUGCGUAGCCGACCUGAGAGGGUGAUCGGCCACACUGGAACUGAGACACGGUCCAGACUCCUACGGGAGGCAGCAGUAGGGAAUCUUCCGCAAUGGGCGAAAGCCUGACGGAACAACGCCGCGUGAGUGAUGAAGGUCUUCGGAUCGUAAAACUCUGUUAUUAGGGAAGAACAAAUGUGUAAGUAACUAUGCACGUCUUGACGGUACCUAAUCAGAAAGCCACGGCCAACUACGUG